rnacentral:rRNA from 1 species
AUUAAACGCUGGCGGCAUGCCUUACACAUGCAAGUCGAACGGUAGCGCGGGGCAACCUGGCGACGAGUGGCGAACGGGUGAGUAAAGCAUCGGAACGUGCCCUGGAAUGGGGGAUAACGUAGCGAAAGUUACGCUAAUACCGCAUAUUCUGUGAGCAGGAAAGCAGGGGAUCGCAAGACCUUGCGUUCUGGGAGCGGCCGAUGUCGGAUUAGCUAGUUGGUGGGGUAAAAGCCUACCAAGGCGACGAUCCGUAGCGGGUCUGAGAGGAUGAUCCGCCACACUGGGACUGAGACACGGCCCAGACUCCUACGGGAGGCAGCAGUGGGGAAUUUUGGACAAUGGGCGGAAGCCUGAUCCAGCCAUGCCGCGUGAGUGAAGAAGGCCUUCGGG